GAUGAAAACGCAGCGAAAUGCGAUAAGUAAUGUGAAUUGCAGAAUUCAGUGAAUCAUCGAAUCUUUGAACGCACAUUGCGCCCGCCAGUAUUCUGGCGGGCAUGCCUGUUCGAGCGUCAUUUCAACCAUCAAGCCCCCGGCUUGUGUUGGGGACCUGCGGCUGCCGCAGGCCCUGAAAAGCAGUGGCGGGCUCGCUGUCACACCGAGCGUAGUAGAUUUCAUCUCGCUCAGGGCGUGCUGCGGGUUCCGGCCGUUAAACCACCUUCAUAACCCAAGGUUGACCUCGGAUCAGGUAGGAAGACCCGCUGAACUUAAGCAUAUCAAUAAGCGGAGGA
rnacentral:misc_RNA from 1 species